ensembl:rRNA 5S_rRNA 5S ribosomal RNA
ACUUAAAAAAAAAAAAAAAGUCUGCACCCGAUCUCGUCGGAUCUCGGAAGCUAAGCAGGGUCGGGCCUGGUUAGUACUUAGAUGGGAGAUGGGCUGGGAAUACCAGGUGCUGUAAGCU